rnacentral:rRNA from 1 species
UGCCAGCCGCCGCGGUAAUACGGAGGGGGUUAGCGUUGUUCGGAAUUACUGGGCGUAAAGCGCACGUAGGCGGAUUAGUAAGUUAGGGGUGAAAUCCCGGGGCUCAACCCCGGAACUGCCUCCAAAACUAUCAGUCUAGAGUUCGAGAGAGGCGAGUGGAAUUCCGAGUGUAGAGGUGAAAUUCGUAGAUAUUCGGAGGAACACCAGUGGCGAAGGCGGCUCACUGGCUCGAUACUGACGCUGAGGUGCGAAAGUGUGGGGAGCAAACAGGAUUAGAUA